rnacentral:rRNA from 1 species
UACGAAGGGUGCAAGCGUUACUCGGGAUUACUGGGCGUAAAGCGUGCGUAGGCGGAUCGUUAAGUCGGGGGUGAAAUCCCGGAGCUCAACUCCGGAACUGCCUUUGAUACUGGCAAUCUUGAGGCUGGAAGAGGUUAGUGGAAUUCCCAGUGUAGAGGUGAAAUUCGUAGAUAUUGGGAAGAACACCAGUGGCGAAGGCGGCUAACUGGUCCAGAUCUGACGCUGAGGUGCGAAAGCGUGGGGAGCAAACAGG